rnacentral:rRNA from 1 species
GAUGAACGCUGGCGGCGUGCUUAACACAUGCAAGUCGAACGAUUGAAGCUGGAGCUUGCUCCGGCCGAUUUAGUGGCGGACGGGUGAGUAACGCGUGGGUAACCUGCCUCAUACAGGGGGAUAGCAGUUGGAAACGACUGGUAAAACCGCAUAAGCGCACGGUGUCGCAUGACACAGUGUGAAAACACUCCGGUGGUAUGAGAUGGACCCGCGUCUGAUUAGCUAGUUGGUGAGGUAACGGCCCACCAAGGCGACGAUCAGUAGCCGGCCUGAGAGGGUGAACGGCCACAUUGGGACUGAGACACGGCCCAAACUCCUACGGGAGGCAGCAGUGGGGAAUAUUGCACAAUGGGGGAAACCCUGAUGCAGCGACGCCGCGUGAGUGAUGAAGUAUUUCGGUAUGUAAAGCUCUAUCAGCAGGGAAGAUAAUGACGGUACCUGACUAAGAAGCACCGGCUAAAUACGUGC